rnacentral:rRNA from 1 species
UCGGGAAUUUUGGGCAAUGGGCGAAAGCCUGACCCAGCAACGCCGCGUGAAGGAUGAAGUAUUUCGGUAUGUAAACUUCGAAAGAAUAGGAAGAAUAAAUGACGGUACUAUUUAUAAGGUCCGGCUAACUACGUGCCAGCAGCCGCGGUAAUACGUAGGGACCAAGCGUUGUUCGGAUUUACUGGGCGUAAAGGGCGCGUAGGCGGUUUGUCAAGUCAGUUGUGAAAUCUCCGAGCUUAACUCGGAACGGUCAACUGAUACUGUCAAACUAGAGUACAGAAGGGGCAAUCGGAAUUCUUGGUGUAGCGGUGAAAUGCGUAGAUAUCAAGAGGAACACCUGAGGCGAAGGCGGGUUGCUGGGCUGAUACUGACGCUGAAGCGCGAAAGCUAGGGUAGCAAACGGGAUUAGAUACCCGCGUAGUCCCUGAGCGGGCUGGCAAGGCGCAU